CAAUAGCGUAUAUUAAAGUUGUUGCAGUUAAAAAGCUCGUAGUUGGAUUUCUGGUGGGAGCGAUCGGUCUGGCGCUUAGCGCGAGUACUUGCAUCGUCUCCGGCCAUCCUUGGGGAGAGUCUGUCUGGCAUUAGGUUGUCGGGCAGAGGAUCCUCAUCGUUUACUGUGAAAAAAUUAGAGUGUUCAAAGCAAGCUUAUGCCGUUGAAUAUAUUAGCAUGGAAUAAUAAGAUAGGACUUUGGUACUAUUUUGUUGGUUUGCGCACCAAAGUAAUGAUUAAUAGGGACAGUUGGGGGUAUUCGUAUUCCGUUGUCAGAGGUGAAAUUCUUGGAUUUACGGAAGACGAACUACUGCGAAAGCAUUUACCAAGGAUGUUUUCAUUAA
rnacentral:rRNA from 1 species